UUUAUUCAAACUCUGUUGUUAGUCAAGAACAAGUCGUGACUCAAACAUGAGACCCUUGACGGUACCUAACCUGAAAGCCACGGCUCACUUCUUGCCAGCAGCCGCGGUAAUACGCAGGUGGCAAGCGUUAUCCUGAAUUAUUGGGCGUAAAGCGCGCGCAGGCGGUUUCUUAAGUCUGAUGUGAAAGCCCACGGCUCAACCGUGGAGGGUCAUUGGAAACUGGGGAACUUGAGUGCAGAAGAGAAAAGCGGAAUUCCACGUGUAGCGGUGAAAUGCGUAGAGAUGUGGAGGAACACCAGUGGCGAAGGCGGCUUUUUGGUCUGUAACUGACGCUGAGGCGCGAAAGCGUGGGGAGCAAACAGGAUUAGAUACCCUGGUAGUCCACGCCGUAAACGAUGAGUGCUACAGUGUUACGCAGGGUUUCCCCCCUUUAGUGCUGCAGCUAACGCAUAAGCACUCCGCCUGGAGAACGCCCAU
rnacentral:rRNA from 2 species